UUGUAUGACGAUCCAUUCGUUUUCUCAUCUCAAGCAAAACAAGUAUUUUAUGUUGAGGAUGAGAUGCAAAAAGGAUGGUUUCAUGUUAUUAGAACCAAGCCUAGGGACUUGUUUGAAGUAGGCAGUGAUGGGCUUAAUUAGUUUUGCUGUUAUGUUUGUCUAGUAGAGUUUGCAAAAUUUUCAAUCAUACAUGUACUCUGGCUUUUUUCAUGUGAUCGAGAAGUGUUUAUAAAAGUGCUAUUGCUCUUAGUUAAUUGUACGUAUCAUUAUACAUUUUACAUGUCAUCUUUCAACCUAUUUUGAUUUCUGACAGUAGGAUUGUUUUUUUUUUUUUUUGCUUUCAUUGAGCUUUCUAGAAGACAAAUUAAAUUGAAGAAAUAAGCUAGAUUGCGUAAUUAGAAACUUGCUAUAAAUUUCCAUAAACUCAACAAAUGAGAACUAGUUGUAGCUUAGCAUAUUUAGGAAUGUGAAUUGUACUAUGGGAUCUUGCCACCUUUCUUUUGGUGUGAUUGCUAGUAUCUGCAUCUAUGUUAACGACUAUUAUUUUCCCCAAGCUAGUCAAUAUGAACUGUACACAAUUUAGGGAUUUAAAGACACCCCCUUUAUUUUUGAUAUUAACGACUUGAUUUAUAAAAAUCCAUGAUUGAUCUUAAUGAGUUAAUGUACAUACGCUAUCAUAUUGAAGCUUCAUAUUGACUAGCUUGGGGAAAACUUCACGUGCAAUGCUGUAGAUGUCUUGGACCUUGUCCUGCAAUUUAUUAUUCAAGGUAGGGCUUGGGGCUGAUCUUGAAUUGAUGGGAUGAAGGUGUGCUGGGAAUGCAAGUCGGUGAAGUUGCUUGUUUAACAGAUCAAGAUGAUGGUGAAGGAAAAGAAGCCAAGGAUCCAUUAAAUUAGUACAACUCGUAAAGCUAUUAAUCAUUUGAAAAUGUCUUGUAAAAGAUAUAUUUCUUUUGUUAUGUUUUUUUGUAAGGUUUUAAGAAGUUGAUAGUAGACAUUAUCUAAUUGACUUAUUUGUAAUCGAACAAAAUAUUUUAGUGUGUAUUUAAUCAUUAGUUACUAAAGACAGAUAUUAA